AUGCCACCAUGUCCUAGUGGACCAGGCGCUGGUGGAUCACGUGGUGGUCUAUCCCGACCAAGGCAAAGGUGCAGGCCAGAGUGUCUUCGGACAACAGACCCGGAAAAAGUGAAUAGGAGUGGGCGAUGGUGUUUAGGAAGCGCCGAAGAAUUGGCGAAAUUUAACGACGCAAAUAUGAAAAAGUAUUGGCGUCAGGCUAUGCAAGAGGAGUUGAGGUCGAUCCACGACAACAAUGCAUGGGAGCUUGUGGAUCUUCCCAACAAUGAAAAGUCUAUAGAGCUCAAGUGGGAAUUCAAGAUCAAGAUAGAUGUCGAAGGUUGUAUGAAGCACAAAGCGAGGUUUGUGGCCAAAGAGUAUGUGCAAGAGAAAGGUAUGGACUUUGAAGAAGUGUUUGUUCCCAUUGCAAAGAUGGAGUCGGUGAGAUUACUCAUCCCUCUCGCGGCUCAGGAAUCAUGA
rnacentral:rRNA from 1 species